rnacentral:rRNA from 1 species
AUUGAACGCUGGCGGCAGGCCUAACACAUGCAAGUCGAGCGGGGUUUUCGGACCUAGCGGCGGACGGGUGAGUAAUGCGUAGGAAGCUGCCCGAUAGAGGGGGAUACCAGUUGGAAACGACUGUUAAUACCGCAUAAUGUCUACGGACCAAAGUGUGGGACCUUCGGGCCACAUGCUAUCGGAUGCGCCUACGUGGGAUUAGCUAGUUGGUGAGGUAAUGGCUCACCGAGGCGACGAUCUCUAGCUGGUUUGAGAGGAUGAUCAGCCACACUGGAACUGAGACACGGUCCAGACUCCUACGGGAGGCAGCAGUGGGGAAUAUUGGACAAUGGGCGCAAGCCUGAUCCAGCCAUGCCGCGUGUGUGAAGAAGGCCUUCGGGUUGUAAAGCACUUUCAGCGAGGAGGAAGGGGUGUGUGUUAAUAGUACACACCUUUGACGUUACUCGCAGAAGAAGCACCGGCUAACUCUGUGCCAGCCGCCGCCCGUAACAC